GGGUGGGGGGGAGAUACUCUAUGAUGAUGCAAAGAGAAUAAACCAAUUGAGUAACAACACCGUUAGAUGAGCGGGUUUUAGUAGGAGGUGAAACGGGUAAUGAAAUAAGAGGAACAACAACUCCAGAUGUGUUGAUGCCGCAAGCAUCAGUUGGUGGUGCAGUGGUGAUGCAAACCAAAGUUAUCCAGAUAAUUAUUCACUUGGGAACGAGAUCAAUACUUAUAAAAUUAGGAUUUUGUUUCUAAAUUGGUAUGGAUUCAAAUUGAAAUAUGAAAUUGGUAUGGUUUGAUCUUAAGAACAAUUUCCCCAAUUUCAAUUUCAAUUAAUACCAAUUUUGAUUUAAAAAUUUAACUCUUUAUAGGGUUUGUAGGGUAGUGGUGGUGGUGAUAACAGUAACAGGGACGAGAUGAAUUGAUGAAAACGGUUGUAAGCUAUGUGAUUUGGGAUGAAGUACACAACCAAAAGAUGUAGCCUCACCUCCUGUACAAGCUUUUUGUCCUAGCCUUCAACAGAAUCAACAAUACUAUCAAUCACGGCUAUUAUAUUCACUUGUGCAACAAAAUGAGAUACAAAGCAGCAUACCAUCCAUAUAAACUCCUUUGUCCUCUUCGCCAAGAGUAAGUUUUUGAUGUUUCCAUAAUGAACAACAGUAGCUAGCGCAUAAACCACUUUACCUUCAUUUACUUUAUAUUUAUUAUAUAUGUGGUAUAGCAUUUUGGACUUGCUUCGGAACGGUUGUUAAACAUUGCCUGCUUGUUAGGUUAUCUAGACUUACUUGGAAGAUGUACUAGAUUUGAACACAGAAAUACACAAAAUGCACCUGAGUGCAUAAUGUAUACUAUGACCAAAAAAAGUUUUGUCCUAUAUGUACCCGAAUGUACAAUGUAUAUAUUUUUUGAAUUUUUUCUUGUU